GGAUGCCUUGGCAGUCAGAGGCGAUGAAAGACGUGGUAGCCUGCGAAAAGCUUCGGGGAGUCGGCAAACAGACUUUGAUCCGGAGAUGUCUGAAUGGGGGAACCCAGCCAUCAUAAGAUGGUUAUCUUACGCUGAAUACAUAGGNGUAAGAGGCGAACCAGGGGAACUGAAACAUCUAAGUACCCUGAGGAAAAGAAAUCAACCGAGAUUCCCUUAGUAGUGGCGAGCGAACGGGGACUAGCCCUUAAGUGGCUUUGAGAUUAGCGGAACGCUCUGGAAAGUGCGGCCAUAGUGGGUGAUAGCCCUGUACNNNAAAAUCUCUUAGUCAUGAAAUCGAGUAGGACGGAGCACGNNNNACUUUGUCUGAAUAUGGGGGGACCAUCCUCCAAGGCUAAAUACUACUG
rnacentral:rRNA from 1 species